UGAGGAAUAUUGGACAAUGGGGGCAACCCUGAUCCAGCCAUGCCGCGUGCAGGAAGACUGCCCUAUGGGUUGUAAACUGCUUUUAUACAGGAAGAAACUGUGCUACGUGUAGCACCCUGACGGUACUGUAAGAAUAAGGAUCGGCUAACUCCGUGCCAGCAGCCGCGGUAAUACGGAGGAUCCAAGCGUUAUCCGGAAUCAUUGGGUUUAAAGGGUCCGUAGGUGGUUAAUUAAGUCAGAGGUGAAAGCCUAUCGCUCAACGAUAGAACUGCCUUUGAUACUGAUUAACUUGAGUUAUUGUGAAGUAGUUAGAAUAUGUAGUGUAGCGGUGAAAUGCAUAGAUAUUACAUAGAAUACCGAUUGCGAAGGCAGAUUACUAACAAUAUACUGACACUGAGGGACGAAAGCGUGGGUAGCGAACAGG
rnacentral:rRNA from 1 species